rnacentral:rRNA from 1 species
AUGGUCGGCGACCCCAUUCUCCUCACGACCAACGCUAGGCGGUACAAGGCCUUCUACUACUGCAACUCGGUUGGGUUUGUGGCCUCCUUGGUGGCCAUUGUCCUGGUUCAGAAAGAGAUUCUGCUCAAGCACCACGCGCUGGAGGCAGCUAUGAUACUCGACCUGUUUGGCCUCAUCGGCGCGUAUGCCGCCGGGAGUUGCCGGGACGUGAGCACCUCCAUUUACGCCAUGGCGCUAGCAGGCGCCGUCCUGGUCUAUGUGGUGAUCUAUGUUGUCUUCUUCACGCUGGACCACAAGGAUAAGAAAGACACGGUCCAGGAACACCAGUUGCUGGAGAAGAGGCGCAAACGGUUGCUUCUCUUUGCAAUCUUGGCAGCAACCAUCACCUACCAAGCCGGCCUCACCCCUCCAGGCGGCUUCCUGCUCCAGGACAACAAGUUCGGGCGGCACCAUGCCGGCGACCCGGUCCUCUUGGACAACUACCCACGCCGCUACAAUGCCUUCUUCUACUGCAACUCAAUAAGCUUCAUGCUGUCCAUCGCCCUCCUCCUCCUCCUGGUGAACCCCAAUUUGUACAGGCCAGCCAUACGAAGCAAUGCGCUAUCUGUUUGUACGACGGUAGGCUUGUGUUGUUUGAUGGGGGCCUACGUCGCUGGAAGUACGCAACACCUCAAGACAUCCAUCUGCAUCUUCGCAUUGGUGGUUGUGGUCCUCUUAGUUGUAGUCCUACUACUCCUAGUAUCUUUACUGAAGGGGCUGAACAAAAAUGGCAACAAUUCGGCACCCAAAGAACAGGACAAAAAAGGGAAGAAGGAAGAUGGCAACAAUUCGGCAACCAAAGAACAGGACGAAGAAGAAGGGAAGAAGGAAGAAGGGAAGAAGGAAGGAGAAAAGAUGAGGGAUGAAGAAAGCCAGAAGCACGCGAGGUGCAAAUACCUGAUGCUGCUAGGCAUCUUGGUGGCAAGCGUAGCCUACCAUGUUAGCUCUAAUCUUGAUUUGUAUCUGCAUACUUAG